UAGAAAGCGACGCAGAGCAUUGCUCAAGGCCGCACCGUGAGUCAGGGCAGGAAGAGCUGGGAAGGGAAUGGAGAGGAGAGAAUCCAAAAAGGAAAGGUGCCCAGGUGCCACUCCUCGCCUCGAAGGCAUCCAAUCCCGCUCCAGCGCUCUCUUUCUUCCGGCUCUUUUGUCAACAAGAGCAAGGAUUUCAGGAACAGAUCAUUGGAGAGCUGGGAGAAUCCCUUGACUAGUCUUGGGGGCAGUUGGGGCAAGGCAAUAAAUGUGGGAGGAGAGGAUGGCUACCUGGAAAGCUAAAUUGGAAGUGUUAUUUAUGGCCGGCACAAUAAAGGAGUGGCAGGAGAGGAGAGAGAGAAAGAGAGCAGCCUAUAUCCAGACAAACCAAUGUUAGACCCGGCUGUGGCGGCUGAGGCGAAAAGAAGAGAUUACUGGAGGCUCGGUAUCCCACUUUGCCACUCAUUCACAACAAACAAAGAACAAUGAUUGAUGAUUAAAAAUGCAUUCUCUGGG